AUGGCGAUGGCCAUGGAAGGGCUCGCUCGACUUGCCUGUAUCUUCUCCACCACCAUACUUUUGCAGAGCCUGGCAUGGCCCUGCAGCAAUGGAGAGAGAGGCUUCUCCUACCCCCAGUCUCCAAAGGUCCCCUCCAUUGUCAGCGAGAGGUACAGGACUGCCUACCACUUCCAGCCUCCAAGGAACUGGAUGAACGAUCCAUGUGGACCAAUGUACUACAAUGGCGUCUACCAUGAAUUCUACCAGUAUAACCCCGAUGGCGCCUUUGACCCCAAUGACUCCCUUAUGAACAUGGUUUGGGGCCAUUCGGUUUCAACAGACCUCAUCAACUGGAUCGGUCUUGAACCGGCAAUCAAACCAGAUAUCCCAAGUGACAUAUGCGGUUGUUGGACCGGCUCAGCCACAAUUCUAUUUGGUGUUCAACCGGUCAUCAUAUACACUGGUCUCAUCGACAGGAAGGCGAAUCAGGUCCAAAACAUUGCGCUUCCCAAAAACCGUUCUGAUCCAUACCUGAGGGAAUGGGCCAAAGUAGGCAGUAACCCAGUGAUCCAACAUGUCAUACCAGGCUUGAACUCGAGCCAUUUCAGGGAUCCGACAACCGGUUGGAUUGGACCGGAUGGACUAUGGAGAAUAGCAGUUGGUGCUGAGGUGAACGGCAUCGGUACUGCACUUCUGUACAAGAGUGAAGACUUUAUGAGUUGGACUAGAAUUGAACGCCCGCUGUAUUCAAACAAUGCCCUCAAUAUGUGGGAGUGCCUGGAUUUCUUCGCCGUAGUGCCGGGAAGUAACAAUGGACUGGACAUGUCUUCAGAAAUUCCAAGUGGCGCCAAGCAUGUCCUCAAAGUGAGCAUCAAUUCCUGUGACAUGUACAUAGUUGGGGUGUAUGAUCUCAAACGUGAUGAAUUUGUGCCAGACACCGUCCAAGAUGACAAUCGGCUGUGGACGAGGAUCGAUUAUGGUACUUUCUAUGCUUCAAAAUCGUUCUUUGACUCCAAACACGGCAGGAGAGUCAUAUGGGCUUGGAGUAACGAGACAGAUAGUUAUUCAGAUGAUAUAGCAAAAGGCUGGGCAGGAAUCCAUUCAAUCCCCAGGACAAUUUGGUUAGAUGGCGAUGGCAAGCAGUUGAUCCAAUGGCCAGUUGAAGAGAUUGAGUCCCUUCGAAUAAAUGAAAUCAACCAUCAAGGACUAGAGCUGAAAAAGGGAGAUCUAUUUGAGAUUAAGGGAAUCGACACUUUGCAGGCUGACGUUGAGAUAGAUUUUGAGCCGACGUCCAUCGAUGACGCCGAAACUUUUGAUCCUUCCUGGCUUUUUGACCCCCGAAAGCAGUGCCGGGAGGCGGAUGCAUCGGUUCAUGGUGGCAUAGGGCCAUUUGGACUUGUUAUUCUGGCCUCUGACAACAUGGAGGAGCACACUGCAGUGCAUUUCAGGGUUUACAAAUCAGAGCAAAAGUACAUUAUCCUCAUGUGCUCUGAUCUUAGAAGGUCUUCCCUGAGACCAGGACUGUACACACCAGCCUAUGGAGGCUUCUUUGAAUUUGACCUUGAAAAUGAAAAAAGGAUAUCCCUCAGGACUCUGAUUGACCGGUCCGCCGUGGAGAGCUUCGGCAGCGGUGGCAGGAUCUGCAUCACGGCCAGAGUUUAUCCGGUGGCACUUGUCGACGACGGCGCCGCCCACAUGUAUGCUUUCAACAAUGGAAGUACCACGGUGAGAGUGCCACAGCUAAGGGCAUGGAGCAUGAAGAGAGCACAGGUGAAUGUGAUGAAGGGUGGAAGUGUGAUCGAUGCUUAG
rnacentral:rRNA from 1 species